AGUGAACGCUGGCGGUAGGCCUAACACAUGCAAGUCGAACGGCAGCACAGUAAGAGCUUGCUCUUACGGGUGGCGAGUGGCGGACGAGUGAGGAAUACAUCGGAAUCUACUUUUUCGUGGGGGAUAACGUAGGGAAACUUACGCUAAUACCGCAUACGACCUACGGGUGAAAGCAGGGGAUCUUCGGACCUUGCGCGAUUGAAUGAGCCGAUGUCGGAUUAGCUAGUUGGCGGGGUAAAGGCCCACCAAGGCGACGAUCCGUAGCUGGUCUGAGAGGAUGAUCAGCCACACUGGAACUGAGACACGGUCCAGACUCCUACGGGAGGCAGCAGUGGGGAAUAUUGGACAAUGGGCGCAAGCCUGAUCCAGCCAUACCGCGUGGGUGAAGAAGGCCUUCGGGUUGUAAAGCCCUUUUGUUGGGAAAGAAAAGCAGCAGGUUAAUACCCCGCUGUUCUGACGGUACCCAAAGAAUAAGUACCGGCUAACUUCGUG
rnacentral:rRNA from 1 species